rnacentral:rRNA from 1 species
CCUACGGGGUGCAGCAGUGAGGAAUAUUGGUCAAUGGACGAGAGUCUGAACCAGCCAAGUAGCGUGAAGGAUGACUGCCCUAUGGGUUGUAAACUUCUUUUAUAUGGGAAUAAAAUGUUCCACGUGUGGGAUUUUGUCUGUACCAUAUGAAUAAGGAUCGGCUAACUCCGUGCCAGCAGCCGCGGUAAUACGGAGGAUCCGAGCGUUAUCCGGAUUUAUUGGGUUUAAAGGGAGCGUAGGUGGAUUGUUAAGUCAGUUGUGAAAGUUUGCGGCUCAACAGUAAAAUUGCAGUUGAAACUGGCAGUCUAGAGUACAGUAGAGGUGGGCGGAAUUCGUGGUGUAGCGGUGAAAUGCUUAGAUAUCACGAAGAACUCCGAUUGCGAAGGCAGCUCACUGGACUGCAACUGACACUGAGGCUCGAAAGUGUGGGUAUCAAACAGGAUUAGAUACCCUUGUAGUC